GUAUAUAUACCCAAAGGUGAAAAUCACUACCGUAUACAUGAGUAACCUCAAAUCACCCUCCCAAAAAAACACCCACCUAACACCAAAAGCAAGAGGAUCCAGUUAUUGUGGUUGUACUUAGUAGUACUAUUGGGCUAUAAUUUUUUUUAGGCUCAUACCUUGCGGAGGCCCAACUCCAUUGAGUUGUUUGCACACCCCAAGAUGCUUGGAAUAGGUUUACGGCUUAUUUUGCCGAAAAUAAAAUCAAGAAAGCCUUAGAGACUGAGUUACAACAAAAGAUGGUUAUAUGAACUAUUGGAAUAAAAGGUUGUCGAAGCAGUUGGUGAAGAACCAAAGGAAAUAAUGGUUUAGGGUCAAAAGCUCGACUGCAUUUUUUAUGAAGAGCCUUUAGGUUUUGAAAAAUAUCCUUAUCUUGAAACGAAAAAGAUCUAGGUUCAAGAUUCUUUGGAAGAAAUUGAUUUGGGAGAUGAAUCAAUAAAAAGGCCAACUUACAUAAGUUUUAAUAUUGGCCCAAAACUUAAGGUUCAAAUAGUUGCACUUUUGAAGAAGUACAAAGACUGUUUUGCUUGGGAUUAUAAUGAAUUGCCUGGAUUAAGCAGGAAUGUGGUAGAAUUGAAGUUACCAAUUCGGCCAGACAAGAAACCAGUAAAACAGCUUCCAAAAAGGUUUGCACCUCAGAUCAUGUCGAAGAUUAAAGAGGAAAUCGAAAGACUCCUCAAAAGCAAGUUUAUUAGAACCGCAAGGCAUGUUGAGUGGUUAGCAAACAUUGCUCCUGUAAUUAAUAAAAAUGGAAUUCUUAGAGUUUGUAUAGACUUUAGAGACCUGAACAAUGCUACACCAAAGGAUGAAUAUCCUAUGCCAGUGGUAGAAAUGCUAGUUGAUUCUGCAGCAUGAUUUGAAUACUUGAGUAUGCUCGAUAGCUAUUCUAGUUACAAUCAAAUUUCAUCGCUGAUGAACAUGUGUCUAAAACAACAUUUCGGUGUCCAGGAGAUUUAGGCACGUACGAAUGGGUAGUAAUUCCUUUCGGCUUAAAGAAUGUUGAUUCUACAUACCAAAGAGUAAUGAAUUCAAUGUUUCAUGAUUUUGUUGAUAAAUUUAUGCAGAUUUAUAGUGAUGAUAUUGUUGUAAAUUCUUCGUUGGAAGAUGAUAAUUUAGAACACCUUCGACUUUCAUUUGAAAGAAUGAGAAAAUAUGGAUUGAAAUGAAUCCACUGAAAUGUCCCUUUGGUGUAUUUGCAGGUGACAUAUAUUUAAAUGUGUUGUUAACAAAUAUUCUUUAAAUCGUUAUUAACAUAUAUGGCAUCUUUAAAUGUGUUGUUUGUAGACCAGCAAGAUGCUCUUCUCAAGUGGUAGACAUAUAUUUAGCAGCAAUCUUGCAUACUAUUAAUAUAUUUGGUGUGCUUGCAACUCCAUCCGAUUUUCUUUGUUAGCGCCCUCAUUGCACUUCGCAAAGGUACAUAUUCAUUCUUCUAUUGCAAUGUUUGAAAAUGCAUCUAAAGGAAAGUGCUUGACAUUGGACUCCUCCUUUCUUGAUUCUUUUGCGGUCUCACACCAUAGCCGUAGAGUUAAGGAAAUUAUUUUGGUCUUGUGGAAGGCCCCGUCAUCUCCUUGGUUAAAAGUUAACACGGACGGCUCAGUGCUAGGUGGUCAUGCAGCUUGUGGGGGGCUGUUCCGUGAUUUUCUUGGUACUUUCUACGGAGCUUUUUGUUGUAAUAUUGGUAUACAAUCUGUUUUUUAUGCGGAGGUGCUUGGUUUUAUUAUUGCUAUUGAGUUUGCAACCCGCAAAGGGUGGAGAAACAUCUGGUUAGAGAGCGACUCCACUAGUGCUUUGUUGAUUUUCUCUAAUUCCUUGCGGGGUCCUAUUAUGCUCCGUAACAGAUGGCAUAAUGCUCGACGGUUUGGGAGUUCAGGUUAUAUCUUCUCAUAUUUUUCGUGAAGGAAACUGUUGUGCGGAUAAAUUGGCCUCUUUGGGGCACUCUAGUGUUGGUCAAGUUUGGUUGGACAAGCUCCCUACUGAUUUGAGUCUAGAUUUCUUUCCCGAUAGAUGUGGGCUUCCUAAUUACAGGCUUCCUUAAUUUGUUUUUAAAUGGAGUCUAUUGUUUUUGCUGUUUUAUUUUCUGUUUGUUGAGGGUUUUUGUAUAGUCCCCCCUCCUUUUGUAAUUAUUUUUUCCCUUUUUUAAUAAAAUUUCCAUGAGUGUUCUGGUGUAGGAUGGAGGUCUCUUGAGGUGUCAACCUAAUUGGAAUGUCGAUGACGCCUACACUCUCCUAGUUUAUAAAAAAAAAAACAACAACAACAACAACACAUUUCAGCAAGGAUCUAUGUAGUCGACCAGAAUCCCCUAGGACACAUUAGAAGCAACACAUGUUGACACAAUCCCAUUCAGUCAAAGGUCUGAUGUCAUUAAAAAAAAUCAGUAUAUAUAUGAAUAUGUAUAAGACAAAAAAAAUUGAUACAAAUUAAAACACCAGAAGCUACAUAAGUGAAAGUUAAAGUCUUAAUUGUUGCAUGAAUAUAAUUUUCCGGUCAAAAGUAUACAAAUAGUUGGGUUCAACAGAGAAACCAUAUGCAUCAAAACAUAAACAAUUUUAAAAAAUAAAUUAAAGCAUAGUAACAACUAUUCUAACUUAUAUUGGAUGUAUCAAAACAUAUGCAUACAUUUACAUAUUGGGUUAGAGAUAUCAAAUUAAAAGUAUUAUGUGAGAAAUUUCAUUAGGCUUGAGCCAAGUUUUUUUUUUUUUUUUUUUGAGAAAGGGCUUGAGCCAAGUUACAGUUUACACUUGUUGCCAUCUGAAAGUGAUAAAAUGAGGAUAUAAAUGAUUUUAAAAAGUUAUAAAAACCAACUUUAUAUAUCAUCAUCAUAAGGCCAUUGAAAACAUAUUUGACUAUAAAUGCUAGUUUUCUAGUCAAGACUCUCAACUGCAAAUGUAACUCAGUCACAAACACUUACACACUUACCAUUUUGGAUUGAAACUAUUAGUGAUAGAGAGAGGAACAAUAAACUUUCACUUGCAUCAUCAGGAACCUCAAACCACCCUUCCAAAAAAACACCCAUCUAACACCAAUUAAAACUUAGUAGUAGUUAUAUAGAAGAAAAUCACAAUCACUCUUUCAAGGAUGCCUAAAUAAUAAAUAUUAAAAAAUUGAGUUCUUGAACUAGUCAAUUAUUUGUGUGAUAUGCAUCAAUAUUGUAUUGAAUUUUUUUAGGAAUCACGCAUAAUAAAAUUGUGCUUCAGAAAAUAUUUACAGUUCAAUCCUUUAAUGAUGCAGUACCAUUGAAUUCUAUAGGAAUUUAUGGAGAAUAAAAAAAUUGAGUUUUUAUGUUCUUCGGGAACUACUCACAAUCCAACAUCAAUUAAUUGUGCAAUCCAUAUGCAUCGCUAUUGAAUUCAUUGAAUUCUUGAGGAAUUCAUGGAGGAUAAAAAUUGAUUUUUAAGUUCUUCAGUAACUAUAUAACCGAUUUAGUCGGUUAUUUAUACGAUCAUUCAAGGAUGUAACUCUUUUGAUGAAUUCUUCCGGAAUUCAUAGAGAACAGUAUCGAGUUCCUCAAGAACUACGUAAUAUAUCUCUUUAAUUUUUUAAUAUGAGAUCAAUCCUUAUGCAAUACUUCAGGAAUGCAUAUCCAAUACUUCACAUAUGGAAUAAAUAAACACAAUAAUAUAAUACAAUUCACAUAAUAAUGAUUUAAUGUAUCUAUAAGACACUGAUUUCAAUUGAUGAAAUUGUAAAAGUAUAACCUAUAAUCAUCUAUACAAAAAUCAAAACUUAUUUACAUAAAAAGAAAUAGAUUAAGAAAGAAUUGCAUACCUUUGAUAAGCUCGUGCUCAUAACGUGUUAUGAAACUAUUAGAAUAAGAACAAGAGUAAAGAGAAGUACAGAAAAAGAUAGAAACAUAAAUGAUUAUAUUAUUCUCUUUUAGUGUAUAAUUAUGUUACAUGUGGCUACCGAUAUGACUUAAGAAAUAAGUACUUAAAGGAUAAGUACAAAUAGGUGUGACUUAAAGAUAAUUAAUAUGACGUCACUUAAUAGAUAAGUACAUGGGUUUGUGGACAUCCACUUAUAAUAUUCAUAACACAAUGAAAGUAUUAUGUGGUGUCUAACAUGAAUUAAAAAAUGGGAUAAGGGUUCUGAAACUAUCUCUAAGUUACGGCAGCUAGGGGUUUUUUUUUUUUUUUUUUUUU
rnacentral:lncRNA from 1 species